rnacentral:lncRNA from 1 species
AUGAAGUGAUACCUUAGUGCUAUGUGCUUAGUCUUCGAGUGUUGCACUGGGUUAUGACAGAUCCUAAUUUCACUUUCUGAGUCGCAAUAUAGUGGGAUCUUUUCAUAUUGAGUCCAUAAUCCCGGAGUUGACUUUGGAUUCAAAUCACUUGAGAGGUACAGGAGGCAGCUGCGAUAUAUUCUGCUUCAGCGGUAGACAGAGAUACACAUGUCUGUUUCUUUGAUUGCCAACUAACCAACUUCCCGUCUAGGAAUUGGCAGCCUCCCGUGGUGCUUUUCCUGUCUAGUCCACAACCUCCAAGGUCUGCAUCUGAGUAGGCUUGAACGAAGAAGCCUGAGUUGGAUGGAUACCAUAGGCCUAAAGAGGUAGUUCGCUUGAGAUAACGAAGUAUGUUCUUCACUGCAAGCAUAUGAGGUUCACGUGGAUUCGCCUGAAAUCUAGCACAGUAACAAACAGAGAACAUGAUAUCAGGCCUGCUAGCAGUAAGAUACAUCAGUGAACCGAUCAUCUGGCGAUAUAGCGUAAUAUCAACUGCUGGCUUAUCCAAUGAUGGAGUAAGCUUGGUGUCGAACGCCAUUGGAACUUUAACCUUUGAAUCUCCCAUCAUGCCAAAUUUUGCAAGGAGAGUCUUCGUGUAAGCUUCCUGAUUAAUAAAGAUGCCUUCGGGUCCCUGUCUAAUGUUUAAACCAAGGAAAAAGUUAAUUGGACCCAUUGAGCUCAUUUAAAAUUUAGUCUCCAUCAACUUUCUAAAUUCAGCUGUUAAGCCAGGAUUCGUUGAGCCGAAGAUGAUAUCAUCGACAUAAAUUUGAACAAUCAUAAGGUGGUUAGCUUCCUUCUUACGAAAGAAGGUUGGGUCAACCAAACUUUGUUUGAAUUUUGACAUCUUUAAAAAUUUGGUUAGCGUUUCAUACCAGGCCCUCGGAGCUUGUUUCAGUCCAUAUACGGCUUUGUCUAAAAUGUAACAGUGAUUGGGGUACCUUUCAUUGACAAAUCCAGGAGGUUGCUCCACGUACACCGUUUCUUCAAGUUCUCCAUUUAGAAAUGCGCACUAGACAUCCAUUUGGUAGACCUCAAAGUUUUUGUGUGCAGCAUAGGCAAGAAAUAUUCUAACGGAUUCCAGCCUAGUUACAGGAGCGAAAGUUUCUUCAUAGUCGAUUCCUUCCUCCUGACAGUAUCCUUUCACUACCGUACGGGCUUUGUUUCGUAUCAUGUUGCCUUCCUUGUCCAUUUUAUUUCUGAAGACGCAUUUGAGACCAACAACUGAGGCAUCUGGAGGAGUUGGAAUGAGACGCCAAACUAUAUUCCUUUCGAAUUCAUUCAGUUCAUCCUGCAUAGCUUGAACCCAAUCGGAGUGAUCAAGAGCAGUGUUAACUGUCUUUGGUUCAACUUUUGAGACGAAGGAGUUAAACAUACAGAAUUCUACUUUUGAAAAUAAGGAAGUUUGUUUUGCCUUUAGUUGUGAUCGGGUCAGGACCUUUUCAGAGACAUUACCGACAACCUGAGAAACAGGAUGAUCUCUGGUCCAUUUGACAAGAGGAGGGUAAUUUGGAUCAUAAGAUGGAUCGAAUUCAGCGUUUAGCAUCUCUUCUAGUUCAGAUUGACUAUCAUAGUCGUAAGACAUAUGUGCAUUCUCCCCCUCGACAGAUAAGCUUUCAGGUGUGUCUUGUGUUUCUGGAGCUAUAGGAGUUUCGUGUGGUGUUGAGCUUUCGGGUACCACUGGACUUUCGGGUGCAGAUGAGCUUUCGGGAGCAGCUGGAGAAUAGUUCUCCCCCUCAACAUGUGAGCUCGCCUGUGAUGACGAAGAUGUGCCCUCCCCCUCAACUGAAGUAUCGUGCUGUGGAGGGUCGUCAGAAUGUGAUCCUCCUUCAUUCAUUCUCUUUGCAGUAUCUUCGAUGAGUUGCUUCAGAUGAUCUACUUUGUUGUCUGCUGCACUUGCUUCUGAGAGAGUUGCCUUCUCUGGUUCAUCAAAUAACUCGACGAACUUCUCAAAUAGGUUUGCAAUCGAGGCUAUGACUUGGCCUGUGUGAGCACGAUAAUUGGUUUAUUCUAUUUUCCUCGAGUGCUUGUUUAAUACCCUGUAGGCUUUAAAAGUGAGAGAAUAGCCCAGAAAUAUCCCUUCAUUGGCCUUGACAUCGAACUUGUUACGAUGUUCUUUAGAGUUGAAGAUGAAGCACCAUGAGCCGAAUAUAUGGAAAAAUUUGACAUUUGGCUUCCUGUUGUUGAUGAUCUCAUAAGGAGUGAGAGUGAAUCGCUUAUUGAGAUAUGACCUGUUCUGCGUAAAACAAGCAGCAGCAAUAGCAUCAGCCCAAAAAUAUAAAGGUAAAGAAGCAAAACUUAGCAUGCUUCGGGCCGCCUCACACAAAGAUCGGUUUCGUCUUUCGACAAUCCCGUUUUGUUGAGGAGUGUAGGGAGCUGAGAAGUUAUGACUGGUUCCUUUNNNNNNNNNNNNNNNNNNNNNNNNNNNNNNNNNNNNNNNNNNNNNNNNNNNNNNNNNNNNNNNNNNNNNNNNNNNNNNNNNNNNNNNNNNNNNNNNNNNUGCUUGAUGAACAUUUUUAGCUUGAGAGUUGCUUCAGAUUUGUGCUUCAGAAAGAAACCCAUGUAAAAUGUGAAAAGUCAUCAACAAUGACAAGAAUAUACUUGCUACCGCCGAUGCUUUCGAUAGAUUAUGGACCACACAAGUCAAUGUAAAUUAACUCUAAUGGUUCAACAACUUUAGUGUUUACAAUCGAUGGGUGACUUUGACGACUCUGCUUCCCCAUUUCACACGCAGCACAUAAAUGUUCUCGAUCGAAUUUGAGCAAUGGAAGACCUCGAACAUGACCACCUGUGACAAGUUUGUUGAUAUCCUUGAAGUUGAGAUGAGAGAGCCUUCGGUGCCACAGCCAGCUUUCGUUAGAUUGUGCUUUGGAUAACAGGCAGAUAGCUGGAUUCCCUUUGAUGGGUUUGAGGUUCAGGGGAAACAUUUCGCCUUUGCGCUCCGAUUUGAGAAUGACUCUUUUCGUUUUCUUCUCAAUUAUUUCCGAACCCUCAUCAUCGAAUGAAACCUUGAGACCGGUACCUCCAACAAGCUGAGAUACACUGAUGAGGUUGUGCUGUAGUCCUUCAACGUAUGCAACCUUCCUAAUCGUAAAAUCACCAUUUGUAAUCAUUCCAUAGCCUUUUAUGGUGCCGAAGGAGUUGUUCCCGAACUUGACAUUUCCACCGUUUGAAAGAGACCGAAAUUCCCUCAGCUCUUCCUUCCUUCCUGUCAUGUGACGUGAGCAGCCACUGUCAAUGUACCAUUCUUCGUCAAACUGCUCGUCACUGAUAACCUGCAAAAAUUAAGCAGAUUUAGGAACCCAAAGUUUCUUGGGUCCACGUGAGCCUUUCACAGGAACAGGAAUAGUAAGAGAGAUGUCAACAAGAUAUGUUCUUUUUAUUAACGUUGUUUCAUCUUUCUUUUUAAUGGUGAAAACCUUAAUUUUAUUGGGAUUUGUUUCUUUCGGUUUGGAUUCUGGUUUAGGUAUUUGGACUCUGGGAUUAUUUUGAUUUGUUUCAACUGAUGAAAACUUUGAUUUUCCUUUCAUAUCUGUUGAUGAUUUAGGUUUUUGAGUGCGAACAGAGUUGAAUUUAGAAAGAGGUUGAGAGGAAUUAGAAGAAUUAGAAGAAGAAGAACGAGAGAAGUUAGACUGAGAUGAUUUCUUGGCUUGAGAUUCUAAGUGACCCUUUUGUUUUUGAUCAUUAGUGGGACCGAACCUAGAUCUUUGGUCUCUUUUGCUCUCGGAACCGAACCUCUGCUUUCGGUAGAUAGUGUUUUCUGAACCGAACCUUUGCUUUCGGUUGUCAAAUUUUUCAGAACCGAACGUAUCCUUUCGGUUGUUUUGACCUUCAUAACCGAACCUCUCUCUUCGGUUGUUAUGACUCUCUUGUGACCUAACAGUGUUUUUCUCUGACUUUAAAUUUCUGUCAUGACAAGAGAAACGGGCAUUUUGAGAUUGCCAGAACUGUUUUCUUUCAGAGAGAUUCUUCUUGUAUCUCUGAUUCCUUUGCUGUUUUUGAUUUCUCACCUGCUUCGACUGACGAUGGAUAUUCGCUUUUUGUUUUUGCUUUCUGUCAGCAGGUUCACUUUGAACUGAUGAUGUGUCGCUUGAAGGAGUGACUUCUUUUGCAGAAACUCCUUUUUCUUCAGGAACAUCUUUUGUACCACUAGUACUUGGCACGUCGAAGCUAUCAGGUUUGUUCAAAGGUUCUGGCACAUAUCUGCCUUUAGUUUUCCAUGAAGUCCUUUCUGACAGACCAACUGUUUCGUCAGCAUUGUCGAUAGGAGCAGACCAGAAGAACUCAUCACAACCAUCAGCAUUAUCUUCGUUUACAAUAGCUGUGAGUUCAGCUGUAUGAUGUUCUGUUACGCCUGUGACUUUAUACACCAGAUUUGGAGUUGUUCUCACUUUUUGGUAUACAACAGCCUUUUCUUCAAGGAUCGGGGACUUUUGUUGGGACAGAGGAGCAAACUCCACAGAAUUUUUUGAAAUAUGAUUUUUGUGGUUUUUGGGUUCGCUCUUGACAAACUCUGAACAGUCAACUAUGUCUUCAACAUAAAUUUCACUCAUAUCAUCGUCCUCAUUAAUCUCAGAUGCAUUUUCAACAUCAAUUUUAUUUUCUGAGCUCAGGUUGGCAUUCAAUGAGUCAAACUUUUGUAUGGUUUCGGUUCUUAGUUUUAGUUUAUCAUUUUCAUCCAAGAGAUUUUUCAGCAUGUCUUUAUGGUCCUUGGACUUUAUGAAAGAUUCGAUUUUGUCUAGACCAUACAUGUAUGUUGGAUUAAUAUCCUCAGAUGAAACAACACUUUCACAGUUAUAUGCUUCAGCGUCAAUUUCAUCCUCCUUAAACUCAAGGAAGGGCAAAAUCAUGCGAUGAAUUUUCUGCCCUAUUUCACAGUUUAAAUGAAGUUGAGUGAUAUUAGUGUAAAGACGCUUAGCAAUUAAACAAAAGACAUUUCUCUGUUUUAAAAGUUUUAAAUUGUCUCUUUGUAAAUAGACGCUUUCAUCCUUGGAUUUGAUUAACUCCGACUCCUUUAGCUCGAUCCACAUCCUCCGUUCCUCACUCUUUGAAGAUACCCUGCUUAUUUGGUCAGUUAGGUUAGAAUUGGUGACCCAUGUUUGAGUUAAACUGCUGUCUAGAUGAGAGAUUCUUGAAUUAACAUUUUUUAAUUCAUUUUUCAUAUGAACUUUGUGGGACUUUGAAUGAAACAAAAACUGAUUGUACCUUCUUGAUUAAUUCAUCAAGCUCGUUAAACUGCACGCUGAGAGGUUUUGCUGUGAAGCACAAGUCCUCUCGCUCCUUUGUGUCUUCAUUCCCACCAUCUGUGUUGUAUCCCCUCAUCUGAGACACGUCUGACACCAUUAAACACUUUCCACCGCUCCCUUCACCUUUUGCAACAUAGGCCUUUCCAUGAGAUGGCUUCCUGACUUCAUCGUCCUCAGAAUCGGUUGACCAGACCUCCACGCCACCGAACUCAUCAUCCGCUACCGAACCCUGCACAAUUAAAGCAUUCAUAGAGGGGUUAGCAGUGGAUUUCUUUCUUUUGAUCUCUUCCAGCUUUUUCAACAGCACAGUUUCUUCGUCUUUUUCCUCAUCCUUUUCUGCCAUUUUCUUGAGAACACAAUCUUUGGCAUAGUGGUUCUUUCCUCCACAAUAAUAGCAGCUCACACCCGAAUCUCCUUCAGCUUUCGGUUCCUUCUUUGGUUCUUCUGCCUUCGGUUCUUCCCUAACCUUUUCAGAACUGUAACUUCCCUGCCAAUUUCGGUUCUUAUUUGUAGGGAACCUUUUCUUGAUGAACCUCUUUGGGUUUGAGACCAUCAUUGCAUAGUCUUCAGAGGUAAGGUCAUAAUCCUCUAGGUUGAGGUCUUCAUCUUCCAUCACAGCUUUGCUUUUGGACAGAAGGGCCAAUGAUCCCAAGCUUGAAACCACAUUUUUCUCCUGUAACACAAUCUUUUCUUGAGAUUUCAAAAUCCCUACCAGUUUCGCCAAAGAGUAAGAUUUGAAUUGCUCAUGCGCUUUAACAGUGGACACAACCGCUCUCCACUCAGAUCUGAGACCGUUUAAAAAUGUAACCUUUUGUUCAAUCAACUUCCUUUCAAUAUCAUGUUUAAUCAUCUUACUAAGAAGAUGAUUGAAGCGAUCGAACGUCUGAGUUACAGUUUCUUCAGGACUCUGCUUGAAUUCACCAAAUUCGGACAAAAGCAAGGUUUGAAUGGAAUGCUCGAGAUCUUCGUCCGUAGAAUAUAACUCUCGCAGCCUAUCCCAUAUUUCUUUGGCAGUGCUGCAUGAACUCACUAGCCUGAAAGUGUCAGAUUGAAGAGCGAAUCUGAUUAGUCUCAAUGCUUUAAUAUUGCACUGAAAUUUAUCUUUUUCGUCUUGAGCAAUAUCUUUAACGUCUUUCAAAAGAUCAUUAUACUCCUUCUGAGUUUUAAUAAUUCUUGAAGUUGCUGAAUGAGCGAAUGGUCCAGAUACGAUUGCUUCCCAGAUGAGAUAUCCAUUGUCCUCAGAUCCGAUGACAUAAUCUUCAAAGUGAUGUGCCCAGACCUCCUAAUCCUUGGUGUAAAGGAUGGGAAUCUUUGUCGUUGAUCCAAUAAUGUUUGAGAUGUUAAUGGGAUUAGAUUGUGACUCGUCCAUGCUUGAUCGAAAAACCUAUUUAAAAGAUCAGACUUGUAAUAUAUUAAAUUAGGGCAACACAAAUAAAAGUUGAGUUACGUCAAUUAUGGGAUGACCGCUCAAUAAAUAUCAGUAAAUGCAGAAUAACCCUAAUCGCAACCUUUUUCACAGAAAAGAAGUGUAUGAAUUACACAGCCUCCUGCUCUGAUACCAAUUGAUAAGAUAUUAAAUAAACUUGAAGAUCGAUUAGAUCUUUGUAACAGGUAGUGCGAAGAACAUAAAACAAUAAACAAGACAAGACUGAAUCACAAUGUGUCGAAUGAUUAAUUCAAACAAUCCUCAGCAGAGCUCGACUAAGAACUUCCGCUAUAGAGGAUUUAGGGUUACAAGAACGAUAAUUAAAACUUCUCUGAUCAAUCUAUUCUAUCGUUACUAUCGUUAACCUAAGAUGCAUGCAAGCACCUAUAUUUAUAAUAAAACCCUACUAUACUCAUGGAUGGACAAGCCCAUACCAGAGAUACAAAAACGGACUAGCUAACGAGCCCAAUAGACGCAACACUUAAUACAAAACACGACCCAACAUAUAUGAAUUAUCAAGAGAUUGUGUUUGAAUAACACUAGGGAAUAAGGAAUGCUUACCACGAUCCUUAAGAAAAACAUUGAAGAAAUAGGUUUCUGGGGAUAUUUGAACUUGAGUAUAAGAGAAAAUGGGUUUGAUAUUCGAGAGAAUGUAGGAAGCAAUUGUUCACUGGAAAUGUUUUAAGUGUGAAAUGAGGGAUGGGGUGGUGAUUUCGGCCCGUAUAUGGAAGAUAGGAUGAGGUUUGACAUGAAAUUUACACUAGGUUGUGAAAUUUUCUCAUUAGCAAGCUAAACUACCAAAUCAAGUGGCACCACUUGACUACUUUAUGGAGAUUUUGUCACACCCCGAAACCGAUGGCGGAAACGUUCCGGGGCGGAGGACGUCAUGAAAAGUAUCACAACCAAUGUACAUAUUAAGCAUAGUAAACACAAAACAUUACAUUACAUAGAAUCAUUACAUUUGUUUAAAAGUAAAGUAAUACAUGUUUUAUAGAUUUAGUAGUCUAAACAAAAGUAAAGAUGUGACUUCCAUAUGCUCCGUCUUCUGCAAAAGAACGCGGGAUACCUGUCUAAGGAGAACCUGAGAAUACAAGCAGUUUGAAAAUCAGCAUAAAGCUGGUGAGUUCAUAAGUGGUUUGUUUUUUUGAAAAUGAACAAGUUUCCUUUAGUUUUUCUGAAACAGUUGUUAUCCAAGAAAAUCCCAUAUUUCCUUAUAAGAAAAGUCUAGUUAUCCAAUGUUACACAGUUUGGUUAAGAACAGUUAAGUUAUCUCAGGAAAAACCCUUAUUUUCCUAAAAGUUUGUGGUUGGUUAUCGAUUCGGAAUGCAGUGUACAAGUAUCUACCAUACUUAAAGUGUUUGUGUGAAGUUUCCUGAAAGCCUGGUUAUCCUUGAAAAGUAUGUUAGUUUUAACACGUAUAUAAAACUAUUGUGUGGAAAGUAAACUAAUUUCUAAGGUUAUUAGUUUACUAAAUUCAUUAUUACCAACAAGUAAAUCUCUGUUAUCUAAAUUGCGAGUUCCAUAAUCAUACGAUAGACUAGAUAUGUUAAUAAGAAGUCCAAUAUCAUUUUAUGACUUUUGUCACCCUUGGACCUUUCGGUCCGACUGUAGCUAGUAACCAGGUGUGGGGUAGUCAGCCCCGUAUAGAUCUAUACACUCAAGUCACGUUCUCCCUCGAAGAGAUUCUGUUUACAGGGGCGGUCCUCCACUCGCGUAUCUCUAUGGAGUGUUACCGAGGACAUGUCUCCAAUUAUUAAGAUUAAUAAAUUUAUAAGUAAUAAUGCGGAAAAUAUGGAGUUUGCUCUUCAAGAGUAAACCCCUAAUGGAGAUUGCAGACCCUAAUGGAGAUUACGGCCCUAAGACCAUAUCCUCAUGAGUUUACGGCCGUAAACUCAUGGGUGGUGGGUUCUUGGGUGCUAAAUGGUAUUACAACACUUGUGGGGUGAUGCUAGGUUUAGUUCCAAGGCAUUGGGAGGGGUUUGGUAAACAUAUGGACCACAUAAAGGAGUUUAUGGCUGUAAACUAGGAGUUUACAGCUGUGAACUCUCACAUACUCAUUCCUUUUGUGUUUUGGUGUCCCUAGGUUAAGCACAAGUGUUUCUAGUCCAAAGUACAAGCCAUGGAAGGAAGUUAGGGCACCAUUUGACAACCUUAUAGGAGUUUACGGCCCAGGAACCAAUCCUUGGGGGGUUUACGGCCGUAAUCUCCUAAGGAGAUGGCUUCUUUCAACUUUAAGGCCCUAAACACAAUGGUGGAUGAUUCUAGACAUUAUUCCAAGGCUUAGGAGGUGUUUAAGGGCAAUCUUAACACCUUAAAAGGUGUUUGCGGCCUUUGAAUGGGUGUUUACGGUACAAGCAUGUUCUUGGGCCAUAAACUCAUGUAUACCCCUCAAAUGUUAAGGUUUUGGUGUUCUAAGUCCAAUCUUGUAAGCCCCUAAGUCAUAUCUAAGCACUAGAAAUGGUUUGGAAGGGUUUUGGGGCUCUAAAACCCCAUUUAUGGGUGUUUACGGUUUGGGAUAGUUCCUGGGCCAUAAACACAUGCAUUUGGUCCUAUUUCAUGAUUUAAACACGAAUUUGAAAGCUAAAGAUGAUACACUAUGAGCUAGGAUGGAUUACAUACCUAUUUGGAGCUUGAAAUGGGUGAUUUUGGAUCAAAGGUUUGGAUUGAAGAGGUAGAGUGUGAACAAGCUUCAAAUGAAGCCCACUCAACUUUAUAUAUGGUUUGAGUUUGAGGCUCGGUGGAAAUCUACCUGAUACCGACGUUAAACGAGGCUUUUGGUCGUACCCGAUUUAGUUGUUGUAACCCAACGUAGACGAAACUAAAAAAUUUCUAAACAACAAUUUGGGAUGUUUUCAUGUGUUUCUAAUGGGUUUGGAUACUCACAAGUUCAUAAUAAAAGUCUUAAAUUAAAUGACCUAAUCCAAAAUGUUAACGGAAAAAUUGAAGGACAAACGGGUUUUACUGACGGGAAUGGGUUAUAGGGACGGAAUAAUUUACGGGUUGUCACAAAUUUCGACCAAAAUAGGGGUGAUUUCGGCUUUGGUAUGACCAAAAUCCCCUUGUACACUCACAAAAGUGUUGAUUUCGGUCCUCACAUUGUCCAAGAAAGGGUGAUUUCGGUUUAUGUGGUCCCUAGGCUUGAGUUUUCGGUCCUAGUGGUCCUAAGCUUGAGAUUUCAGCCAUAUCUUGUUAUCAUGGCCCUACAAAACCGAAAACACAAUGUCCCUAGAUUCCUAAAACCGAUAUCUCUAAAGUAAUUACAAUUUCAUACUUUUAGACUUAACAUUUUGACUUGUGUUGAAUUAUUUUAAUUUAUAUUAACAUGAUAUUGAAUAUAUAUAUAUAUAUAUAUAUAUAUAUAUAUAAAGGUAUUUACAUNUAUAUAAACAUGCCCUUUAGAUUUUCAAAGUUCUAUUGCAACAAGGUUACAAUUUGGUUUCACUUAUACAUAAUACAUCUUUUGACUUGGCUCGACUCCAAGUUUGCCAGUUGUCACAGCAUGCAACCUAAUGUAUUUGUCAAAUAACUAAUUAAUAUAAAUAUAAGUCUUAAGAAACAAUUAAAAAGAAAAUAUCUAAGCUAUAAGGUAUCUUAAUUAUCCGGCAAAGCAAUUCUUGAAAAGAUCCCUAGGCUACAGACUCGUAUGCAUUUCUAACAUUUCAUAUUUCAACAGUAAGAUAUUUUGGGAAUCAUUUUCUUUUCUGAGCUUUUGCUUACUGUACGUAUCAUAUUCUUUCCUUUUUGUACAUUUCUUUUUAUGAAAAUAUUUAUUAAUUAAUCAUAUCCUUAAUUUAAGUUUGGAAUCACAUGUGUGUUCAUCGAUUUCACUGAAACCAAAGCAUUGAUACCAACUUGUAACUUCCCAAUUAUCAACCCAAUUUUUUUUCAUUUUUAUAAAUUAAAAUAUAUCAUAAUAUGAUUACAUUGUGCGGAGACAUGUUGCGAAUGUGCAUGUAUACAUUCGAACCAUUCCCUUCCUACGAGUUAAUAGAGUACCUGAAAAACAUAAUUAAUUGGGUAAGCAUGAAGCUUAACAAGUUCCCAAAAAUACCAUAUAACACAAUACAUAUACUAUACAAACAGAUAAUGGCCUUAAACAUAAAGUUGGUCCGCCCUUGGCCUUCAGAACGAAGCUGGUCCACCCUUUUUUCCUUCAACAUAUAGUUGUUCCACUCUUUGGCCUUUAUCAUAAUGCUCGUCUGUCCGAGUCUAUACGCCUGCAGCCUAAGGCUGGGCCACCCUUGUGACAACCCAAAAUUUUCAUGUGUAUAAUUUCCACAUUCAAACACUCUAAAUAUUAGUCGAAAAUAUUUCAGUACAUUUUUGGCCGGAUUUAAGCCCGCUUGGUGUUUUAUUUUAUUUUUCGUCAAACGAUUAAAUAAAAGGAAGUGUCAUUAUUAGUGAUGUGUAACGAGUAGAACAAUCCAACACCUUAGCUAGGUGUUCACGACCAAACAAGGGGUGUUUUGGCCGUAAACACCCUCCUCCCAAGACUCAUGCAUAUAGCAUGAGUUUACCCUCCUUGUCUUCAUUUUUACACUUCCAACCUCAAAAACAACUAGUUUUCUCUCAACUAUCAUCACACAUUUCUUCCAAAUCCACCAAAAAUGUAUGUUUUAUUCCCUAAAUUCGUUCAUACAACACUAAAUCUAGUGUUUAUACAUCAUUUCAUCCAUGGAUUUUUUAUUUUUACUUAGAUCUUCAAGCAUUUUUAAAACACCGAGAACACACUAGUGGUUUUGGGUCCUUGAACACUCUUGCCAGCUUCCUAUAAGUAAGUAUACUCCUCCUAGCUAGUUAUCUACUUAGUGUGCUUGCAAAUCCAUGGAAUGAACACCAAAAACCACCAAGAACAUGGGUUUAUGGUUUGGGAAUCUCCCAAAACAGUAAACACCCAAAAAAGGGGUUUUGAUGCCCCAAACUCCUCCCAAUGCUUUGCUAAUGAACUAGCAACUUGCAUGAAUGAUCUAAGAACCACAAAUCAAGAAAUGGAUGGAGUAACCAUGAUUUUAUGUCAGUAAACUCAUGGGUUUACAGUAGUAAACUCCCAAACAUGGUCCAAGGACCGUAAACUCCAAAAAGUGUGCCAUUUCGAGCCCUAACCACUUCCUAAGCCCUUGAUUCAACCCUAUGACCUUCCUUUGUGAAGCAUAAGACCUUGAAGCACACAAAAACACCAUUCCUAUGAGUUUACGGCCGUAAACUCAUGGGGAAAUGGCUUAAAAACCAUAAACACGCCUAAGGGCUACCAUUUGAAGUGUGAACUCCAUAGUGAGGCCAUACACUCCUUAAAUGCAACCCUUAGCACUCCUAGCACUUGAAACAAAGUGUUUUCAUGCAUUUGAGUGUCUUUACUUACUUAAUUAGUGAUUAAAUAACUAAUUAGAUACAUUUAUGUAUCACUGCAUGUUACAUAGGAUCCGUGUGUGUGUCCAAGUCCUCACUUGGCACUUAGCAUCCUACCCGGCACUUCCAUCCACUCCACUCAUUGCAGGUGAGUUCAUACCCCUUAAUUGACAUUUUAAAUGUUUUUAAAUUCUUUUAUGGGGGGGAAUACAAGUUGAAUCCAACAAGUUAUAGUAUCAAUCACAUGUGAUUUAUAACUUGCAACCAAAAAGGAUUUUCUAUACUUUUAACUGCUUUGCCAACAAAACCGCUUUAAAUGUUUAUCAAACUCAUUUUUCGUGUUAAAUUUUUAUAAAACUAUUUCCAAACUUUUUUUUAAACUUCUUUUUGUUCCCAAACUAUAUCUACAUCAAUAUAUUUAUAUAAGUAAGACUUGAAGGACUUAGGACUGAUAGCUCACCUUACUUCUUGUUCUUGUUUGAUUAUGGACUUAGGGUAUCUUGUUAUCUGUCCGAUUGUCAUUGAAUUCUUAGUUAUAUAUCAUAUAUAUUUGUGUUGGAUAUAAAAGCCUUCACUUCAGUUCAAUACCUUUGUGUAUCAAAGGCAUGCAUCUAACACCUCUAUUUAACUAUAAUAGGUAUAAUUAAGACUUACCGCUCAUUACUACUUGUACCAUGACACUAACUAUAGUUAUUAGUGUUAUGAGUCUAUACAUGCUAAAUACUAUACAAAGAUAAUACCAUAUGCUACACAAGAGGACACUCAAUACACAAUAACAAAAAGUACAUUAUACUAUAAUACAAGAGAACAUACUAAAACAGAAUGUGACAUACUAUUCCUCGAUACGACACUUCACCGUGCCAUCACCGUGUAACCAGAGUCUCCAGGAGGGAGAGCGGGCAUUAUGUGUAUACAUCUAUACGGGACAGACACUCCCACAUCCCGACUGCAAGCUACAUUCCGAGCCGACUAGGCCCAGGGGUGACAAAAUGUCACCAUACUACGUGUGACCUGGAGGGUCAUCAGUUAUUCGAUCGUCAAUCAGCAUGGUUACAUACGAGUUCACGUUUAGACCUUUAGUUAACACAUUAAGAAUUAAAGGCAAAACAGACUCCCUGAGGUGUAUUGUGCAUUUAAUACUACCUGGAGUCUGCAUUUUUAUUUUACUCAACCGGCAGUAACACUGCUGGGGUAAACCAUUAUUUUCCCAUUUACUUUACAUGAAUGAAGUCUAAAACUAUAUUUUUAUAAUUGAAAGUCUCAUAUAGAAAAUUUUUACACUCUCAAAGGAUCAAACUUACAAAUAAUCAAGUCUUGGUAGAACACUAAUUUUACUGGAAAAUAUAGGAUUUUCUAGGGAUCAUACUAUUUUCAAACUUUGAUAACAUCUUUUAUAUUACAUGAUUGUAAACACUUUUAUACAAGCAAUGACACUAAAUACUUAUGAUCUCACCAGCUUUAUGCUGAUACUCGUUUUCAAAGUAACUUGUAUUCUCAGGUCAUCAGUAGACAGGUACAUAUGCAGCUUUUGAGAAGAUGGAGCACAUACAAGACUCCUCUUUAUUUUGAUUAUACCUUUGGUGUCUAACAAACUGUACAGAACACGCUUGUAUUACAAUUAUUAUAUUAAUUCGAUGGAUGUUGCUGCUUGUUUUUACUAUUAUGCAUUGUUAUGAUACCGUACAUGACGUCCUCCACCACAGAACGUAUUCUGCUGUUCUCGGUUUUGGGGUGUGACAACCCUCAACCCCUCGCAUAAUAUAUAUAAACAGAAAAAUAGUUCAAUACGAUAAGUAACUAACGAAACUAGUUUAGUAGCCUAACUGCAUACUACAUGACAACUAUAUUCUACCAUACAAAUAGUAUAUACUGGAGCAAAUAAUAUAGUGAAUAAAAUCACAUGGACAAUUACUCAGACAAUUGAUUGUAAUCUGGUGAUCCUACUGGUGAUCCAAUUGGCGAGUAACAUACCUAGAAAGUAUUAACCUAUAAUAAUGUACCUUGUUAUUACCUAUGACAAUCUGAUAUUGAAAGCUAGAUCUUUCACUAAUCCCAAUAGAUAUUGAGAGUUCUAUUAAAUAAGGAUUAGCCAGGAAGGACAGUUAGGAGGUAGGACCAUUUCGGCAUAUAGCUUUUCUGAAAUUCAACAACCAAACCAACGUAACCAUUCUAGACAUCUCUCCCGUAAGUAGAUCAACCAACAUUAUGAUUAGAAUUACUGAAAAAUCUUAUUUACACAUUCAUAGCAAAAACCAAGAAUAUAAAUAUAAGUUACACUUCAUGCACAUUAAGUAUAACCAAACUUACAAAGAGUUUCUAGCGAAAUCGGACGAUUUCACUGGCUAACUAGAUUCUUCUAUGUUAUAGUACACGCCGCACACUUUUUCGAGGGUGAUAGGGCUCCAUGUAAAGAGUGAAACCUGGCGUGAAUCUAGUGGAGUGCCAGUGCAUGCCGUGAACCUUGUCUACUAGCGUACCUACCUGUGCGGAUAUUCAAAUUCUUCAAAAAAUAAUAUAUUGUCCAUACGAGCUUUGUUUUUGACGUUCCUUAUAUCCAUGCGUAGGUAUCUCACCGUAUUUUUAAAACUAUAUUUUUAACAGGAUUAGAUUGUUAAACCACAUAAAAAAUCAUGACUCUCUAAUUCUAUAUCUAUUCUCGAUUCUAUUUAUAAUGACGGAUAGGUAUUGACGAGAUCUUCAACUCUUGUUUAGAUUGUUUUUCCUAACAAUUGACCGAUUUAAUUUUCCGUUUUUGUGUCGCACACUACUUUGCUUAAACUUCAAAAAAUCGUAACUUUCUCAUAUGAAAUCAGAUUUAGGCUAUUUUUAUAUGCACGCUCUUUGUUUUACGACUACUACAAAUUUCGUUUAGAUUGCUUAGGCUAAGAAGUAAUCUAUCUAUGAUUCGUAUUUUACGACGUGCAUAUUUGUGUCGGUUUAAUCACAAAACUUCGAAGAAGCAUAACUUCAUCAUAUGAAGACGCAUUAGGGUUUUCUAUAAAUCUACAAAAAUCAUAUUGAAGUUUCCUAAUGUUUAUGAUGAUUACUUUGGCUAAAAUGUAAUAUAUCACUACUUCGAAAUUUAUAAAGGAUGUGUAUAUUGAGUUCUAUUGGAAUGUGAAAAUGAGGUGUUACACAAUUCUAUCAUGCAUUUCCUAAAGGUAUCCAUAGCCCUACUCUAACAUGCAAUUGAGAUAAUAGUAUACUAAACUUAAUACUCAUGUAUGCAUAUUUUGGGAAACGCUUACUUAAGCUCGGAUUAUUGCACACAUUGUACCCAUUUCCUUACCAAAAGUCUUUAUAGAUUUUUCUUCUUUCAAAGAUAUUAUAAAUUCCUCCAUUUGAGUUCAAAAAAACUCGAGAGUGUGCCCGAAUCCCUCCAACCAAGGAUCUGAUACCAAAUUGUAACAUCCCAAAAAUAUGAAUACAAUUUUUCAUUUUUCAUUCAUCAAAUCACAUGGUGUUUAUCCCAAAAAUCCAUCAUAGUAAAAAUGUAUCAUAAUCAUCAGAGUAAAAUAUAAAUCAUCAAUGCGGAAAAUCCUUAUGGGAAAUGUUGUGUAGUCAAGCCGGACCCUUCCUUUUGGAAUGAAAAGUAUCUGAAAAUGUUCAAAACAAAACACCAUAAGCACAAAUCAUAGCGAGUUCCCUAAAAUACCACAUACCAUACAUACAUUGUCAUAGGCUGCCCCCAUGGUCUUUCCUUGCACUGCCUCAUGCUACCCCCAUGGUAUUACGUACAAGUGUCAUGGGCUACCCCCAUAGUCUUUACUCGCAUUACCAUGGUUACCCUAUGGUCUUAUAUAUAAGUGUCUUGGGCUACCCCCAUGGUCUUUCAUACAAAUGCUACAGGCUACCCCCGGGGUCUUCCAUGUAAGAAUCAUAAAGAAAACUAGUAUCCUAUCUAUCAUGCGACCAAUACUACAACACAUCUAUCAAUCAAAAACAUUCCAACCUUAGUCUAUACUUAAAAACUUGGACAUUCACCAAAAGUCAAUUUCGAGAAAAGUUCCAAUUCUGAGAUGAAUUUCAAGUCCGAAGUGAGUUCAAGUUCCGAGCCAAUCCUUAGUUGCGACUGGUUAUGAUUGAUUGUAAAAGGUUACAAUGAAUCACAAUCUAGUGUUUUCAGAUGCGAAUGCCAUCCUCAGAGUGUUAUCGAAUACAAACGGGGAGUUGGAUGUGAAUGGGUGCGAUUGGAAGCAAUUGAUCGCAACCCAUCGCAUCGGAGUGGUGUAGCUUGCUUUCGAUGGGUUGUUACUUAGUGUUGGAUUUGAUGGGUUAUUUUUUUUUGGGAUUCGAUGCGAAAGCUUACUCAAUAUGAAAAAUGAUGUGAAUGAAUUUGGAAUGAUUGCGAUUCUUGGAGGCCAAAUGCGAAUCUCGGAAGUCAGUUGUCAAUUUUGGAAGCUUGUUAUGAUCCUAGGAUGCGAAAGUUGCUUGCUGGGAUCUAUGGUUCAAUGGGAAUGCUAGAUAACUUACAAAGGAAAAUUCUAGAUCGAAUAUUCUUGAUUUUACUCUAUUUAUAGAAAUGAUUUUGUUUUAUCUUCUUUUAGACUUUAUAAGGUUGUUUCCUUAUUAUUUGAUAGUUUCUUGUACUUAUUAGUUUCUGAUGAGUUUAUAAAACUCUUUGAUCGAUUAGAUCUUAUAACAGGUAAAUCAAGAAAGCAAAAAACAGUAAGAUAAAGCACAAGAAUGAAUCUGAAUGUCUCGAAUGAUUCAAUUGAUUCAAUCCUCAGCAGAGCUCGAUGAAGAACUUCCGUUGUAGAGGAUAUUAGGGUUACAAAAGAUAAGAACGAUGAACGCUACAAAAAUCCCUAUCAACAACUUACGUUGUAGGAUGUGUGCAAGCAUCUAUACAUUUUAAACCCCACAAAAUAACUCACGGAUGGACGGGCCCAUACCGGAUAUUAAAUGGACUAAAUGUCGAGCCCAAGACGCAACACUAUCUAGACCUAACAAUCUCCCCCUUUGCGUCAACUGGAGCGAGACUAUAUCUUCUUCUUGCUGGGACUAGCUGCAGGAACCUUCUUAGUGGUUUCAAACAGACGAGGGAUGAGAGCAAGGAUUGUCUAUCUGAAGCGAAUGUACCACUGGAUCAUGUCAUCGAAGAACUUCUUGUCGUCUGCCGAAUUCUGCUUUGAAUGAUGAAUGAUUCCCAACACAUGUUCCACGCAUGCAGUGGUGUAUAGAUGUUUGUCUGCCAAAGCGAACAUGCAUUUUUGGCUUUCGUUUCUAGUAAACAUGACAAAAUUGCGUUUUGCGUCAAUCUUACCCAUCUGCAUCAUGUUCAGGUCGCUGGCAGAGCCAACAGGCGAGAUAGUGGGCUUUUUCUUAAAGAUGCUAGCGAUCUCCGGAUCCAUCUUGGCAACUUCCAUUAUGUAGCAUACAAGCAUCCUCUUGAAGUGAUCAAUAAUCAAACCAUACUCUGCUUCAUUUGUGACGAGGAUGUUGUGCAAAAUUAUCCAAUCAUGUGGAUUCAAAUUGGGAAGAUCAGCAAGCGAUAUGGCGUGUUCGGUCUUAGCAGAACCCCUCAGCACCUUGAACCGAAUGUUAGUGAACUUUCCUUCUCGAAACGGCUUGAGGACCCGAACGUUGAUUAUCUUUUGAGCGCUCCAAGUUUGAUACUGUGGUUGAGCAGCCUUCAGGUAGAAUUCGACGAGAUCCCUAUAAACCUUUGGAUGAGGAUGAGGGAUAUCAACAACGUUAUCAAAGGCAUGGAAGAUGAAGGCCUUUCGGGUCAGUGGCAUGUCAAACUGUGAAUCGACAGAGUUGAUGCGAUUCAAUGAAAUCACCGGUUCAAGCCACAAAAUGCUGGGAGUUUAAACUGCUUCCUUCAAAAGCUUCUCAAGAGUCCACGGAGGAAAAAGGGUUUUCCUGCUCUUAAGAAGGUCAUGAGCCUCUUUCAUUUUUCUUUCAGAUUCCUCAGCCUCUCUGGCAACGCGAGCGCUCAUAUCAGCAUCCUUAUCGCGACCUUGCUUCUUUAAGAGAUCUGCAAUCGUCUCUUUAUCGUCAUCACUCUCUUCAGCAAUUUCCUUCCCUUUGUCUUUGACACCCGAACCUAAGGCUUGGCCUGUUGAAGGAGGUUCAGUUGUUUUUGUUGUUGUAGAAGUGGGAGGCAGUUGAGAUACAUCCUCUCCCCCUUGUUUCGGAAUGGACACGAACUCAAGGAGCCCUUCAAUUUUGCUCAGGAGAGAAAGGGCAGGAGCAAGCUUUUUUAUGAGAGUACGCCUCACUGAGUAAUUCAGUAUUGGAUCAUGUGCUUCAAGGAUGUUUGAAAGGGUGGCGUGGACAUCCGAAACACAUGAAGAAACAAUCUCUCGUUCAGAUCGAAGAGAUUUAAUCUCCUAUUGAGAAUUGGAGAGUUGAUGAUUCUUGAACUUGAGAGCAGUGGUCUUUUGAGCGAGACCGUCCAUGAGUAAGUUCUCGGCAGCUAGAUCUUCUUGUAGCUUAGUUAGGUGCUCCUCAAUAGUCGCCUUGAACGCUGAGUUGUCAUCAGUGAGAGUUUGACGAAGAGUGGCGAAGGACUGCAGUUCUAAGGCAACUGAGGUAGCUAGAUUGUUGACAAUAGGGUCAAGCUUCGUUGUAUUGGCAUCGGCAGUUUCCUGUAAAGACUGCAAAAGAGAAGAAGCAUCAGCAAAUAGUUUUUCGACUUUUUCGGUUGCAGCAGCACAGGCCUUGAUGGAGGCGUCAAUAGCGGCAGUGGCUGUGCUGACGGAGGCUUCAUGAGCUUUAGUGAAAGCGUCUACAAUCUUCUGAAUAGCAGCCUCGGAGAUGGUAGACUGUGAUGAAGAAGAGGAGGAAGCAAUGAGAGAAUCAAUCUUCUCGUGAAGCUCCUUGAGAUUCUUCUUGGUGACUGGAGCAUCAUCAUCAUCAUCACUUUGCACCUGAUACAGACUGUAAUAGACCGAAUCAAAUGUCAUGUUCUCCCCACCAAGAAAAGUUUCUUCAUUGUCUACGGAGUGUGUAGGAGAUGAGGGUGGAGGUGAGGGUGGAGGCUCGGUUGUGGAAGUAGGUUCGGGUUUUGAUGUAUGUUCGGUAGUAGGAGUGGGUUCGGGUGCUUUAGUAGGAGCCCCCGUAUCAGAUACGUUGGUUCUUACUUCAGCGGUUGUUAUAGUAGCUUCAGUGAAAAUGGGUGGGGGUACUGGGAUAGAAGUAGGUGGUAUUUGAGUAGUGGAGGUUAUGGGGGAAAUGGAGAUUGGAGGAGAAGAGACUGGUGGACUGGAAACAUGUACCUCUGAGGUAGGCGAUCGUGGAGGAGUAUUACCACGAGGGGACUCUUCAGAGUCUGAAUUUUCUUCCUCAGAUUCGCUUGAGGAGGAAGCAAGUAUCAGCUUUCGCCUAUGUUGGGUUUUCCUCUUCUGCAGUGGAUGAGAUUGAGCCGCUUUGGUAGGUUUGCAUUUCUUCGAAGAAGGGCCUUUUGCUCCCUUGCCAACCUGCUUGCCUUUUCCCUUUUCAUUUUUCAUUCCCCUUGGAGCGGGCCUAUCAGCAUCAUGAAUGGACUUAAUCAUAUCAGGAGUGAGCUCUCUAGGACCAGAGCGACGAAACUCCUUGUAGGUUCUGAAGAUACGGCUGUCGCUAGGAACAUCUCCAAACAUCGACUCAGGGAUGGAGCCAAUGAACUGAAACUUAGAUGCAUCGGAGACAAUAAUCUUCGUAGUAUGGAAACUACCUAUCAAAGAGAGUGGAGAAUUAGCAACAAUUGGGACGUGAUACUUGUCCAUCACCCAUUUUGUGAUCAGUGUCCAGAAGCGAGCGUAGGAGAUCUCGGAAUGGCGAGAUGUAGAGGCAUGACUCUGAAUCAGCUGCUACCAUAAAACCGACCCAUAGUCAAGGUUGAUGCCGUUGUAUACCCCAUAAAGAAUCGUUAUGAACAGACGACUCGCUUCGUCUGAACCGGCACUGCGUUCCGAUAACCCCUUGAAUAGCACUGUAAAUAACCCGUUCCACUGAGGAGGCAAGCACAAUUUCUUGAACUUGGUGACCAUUGUCAGAACAUCAGUGUAUCCCAUGUUAUAAAACAUGGAAAACAACUGACCCACCGGAAUGGAUUCAGGGUUAACCCUAGAUGAAUCGGGUUCAAACCCUAAAAGCGAACAGAAUCGCUGCUUGGAGAUGGAUGCCUUGUGAUCAAGAAUGUCGAAGAAAAUUCUAUCGACAAACUUGUCAUAAUGAGUUGCAGCGAAGAUUUGCGAUAAAAACUCCAUUGGAACAGCUUCAACUUUGGUGAGAGCGGGAGCUAGCGUCGAAUAUUUGAGACAUUCAAUAAUCGGGAACAUAAAGGCAUCGUAAACGUGUGGAGUGAGAUCGAUGAUCAGACUUUGUUGAGGACGAAUCGGCAUAAUGUGGGAAGUGGCAUGAACAGAAGAUGAGUCCGCCAUUGAAGUGAGGAAGAUGGAAGAGAUGAUGAACAGUAGAAGGAAGAAUGCUUUUCUUGCUCUCUGAAUUUUGGGUGCAGUAAAGAGGUAAAUAAUGGGCGAAGUUACCUUUUAUACCGUGGUGAGAAGAGAGAGAAGAAUUUGUUUCCAAAUCUUCGAGGGAAAUACGAAGGGUUUCCUUAGAAAGAUUGAUGCGUGACAGUUGGGAGCCCCGAUGAUUACACAGGAGAGAGAAAAAGAAACUGUCCCGAUUCACACGCCUUCCCAUCAGGCGCCGUUUGAAAAACAAAAAUCGUUCCACUUCGCACGCCUGUCCUUCAAGCGCCGUUUAAAAAUCAAAGCGAUUUGACUCCUGGCUGAGUCAGCAACUUAUCCCUUUAGAGUGAACUGUCAUCAUAGAGCAGAAUGACCACGUGUAACAUUGUGAGCCACAACUCUUUUAUAAUUUUUAAAAAAUUGGCUUGUAAGUAAUGAAACCAGAAUUAUGGAAAAUCAAAAAGAUUUUCGUGCUUAGUGUGUAAAAGAAAAAGAAAUAAAGCAACACAUAUGUGGGAAAUUGUGAUGUCGAUAACGACGCGAAACAAUGGAUCCCGGGCACAAAUUUCUUCCUUCAAAGUCAAGAGAGACCUUAAAGUGUUUGUUUGGUUUCCCGUUGAAUUACGAUCAGACACUUAUUGAGAAGUGUUGAAAGACAUCUUUUAAUCAGGCUAAUUUGGGUGGCUUUCGCUUCAGUUCAGAAUUCCUAAUCUUGACAUGAGACAGAAAUUAACUGAAGUACUUGUGAGACCAAUGUAGUCUGUUGAACAAGUAGGGUUGAAAAGAAUUUAAGUGGCAUGGUGAAAAUAUUUGUAGGUGAAAUCUCAAAAAAAAAUUAAAACUGGAUUCCAUGGGAAGAAAUGUUAUGGGAUUUAACAAAUUCAUAGAAAUCACACAAAGAUAAAAUUCAGAGAUUUCAAGGUACAGCCUUAAGGCUGAAUUCGUCCGUUCUUUAGUGAAAACUAGAGCAAAGUUAAUUGUUCACCGUCAAUGCAUAGAAGGUAGUGAUUUGGGGGUUUCACUUAGCACGUAGUGGCAUAGAGCUAAGAUCAUGAACACAUAAAUUGUGUAACCAUAAACGCGUUUGAGAUCGAAAUAUGAUGGAGAAAAAUAUUGAAGACGGUGUAAAGAAACCAAAGUACCUCUGCUAUUAAAAUAAGGACCAAGCAGAAAACUCUUAUCUCAUGUGAGAAGAGAGUAAUGUAGCUCAUGAUUAGAAUAAAUGUAAAAGCCUAAUUGGGAAGACGGGGUUUGUAUAUACCAAGUCAGUAAGGCUGUUAUUCAGAAUCAGGUGAGGCUUUGGACACAUACAGCAGCAUGCUUCUAGGGACAUUUAACUAAUAAAGGAAUUUGCCCACAUAUAUCCACACAAACAAAAAAAAUAUUAACUAACACAAAUAACAAAAAAUGUUUUUGGAGUUUUUGAUUUUUAAUUUUUUUUUGGAAUUUUUGAUUUAAAGAUAGAAAAAUAAAAAUAAAUAAGUAAAAAAAAACAAAAAAUUUGGAACCGAACCCGAGCGUUCAGUCUAUUUCGGUUGAAAAAAAAAAUUAAGUUGAAAAAGAAAGGGACUUUGAAAAUAAGAGAGAUGAAAUUGAGAAAAGGAUACAAAAGGUUUACAACCAAAGAAACUACCUUUGAGUGAUAAGCGAAGAGAAGAGAAUAGGACCGAAUCCGAGCGUUCGGUGCAUUUCGGCACACAUGUGAACCGAACCCGAACGUUCGGUUCAUUUCACUUCUUACUUUUAGAUUAGAGAGGUAAUUUUCGGUACUGACUCCGAUUCCAUCAUUCCUAGACCUUGUAGAAUUUUAUUGAAACUCGCUUCAGGAAGAGCUUUGGUGAAGAUAUCGGCCAGUUGAUCAGUGGUUCGAACAAAGUGAAUUUCGACGUUUCCAUCUUCCACAUGAUCCUUAAUAAAGUGAUACCUCAGUGCUAUAUGCUUUGUCUUGGAGUGUUGCACUGGGUUAUGACAGAUCCUAAUUGCACUUUCUGAAUCGCAAUAUAGUGGGAUCUUUUUCAUAUUGAGUCCAUAAUCACGGAGCUGGCUUUGGAUCCAAAUCACUUGAGAUGUACAGGAGGCAGCUGCAAUGUACUCUGCUUCGGCUGUAAACAGAGAAACACAUGUCUGUUUCUUUGAUUGCCAGCUAACCAACUUCCCAUCUAGGAAUUGGCAGCCUCCAGUGGUGCUUUUCCUGUCUAAACCACAUCCUCCAAGGUCUGCAUCUGAGUAGGCUUGAACAAAGAAACCUGAGUUUGAUGGAUACCAUAGACCGAGGGAGGUGGUUCGUUUCAGAUACCAGAGUAUGUUUUUCACUGCAAGCAUAUGUGGUUCACGAGGAUUCGCCUGAAACCUAGCACAAUAACACACAUAAAACAUUAUAUCAGGCCUGCUAGCUGUGAGGUACAUCCAGGAACCAAUCAUCUGGCAGUAUAACGUUAUAUCGACUGCCGAUUUUUCCAAGGGUAGUGUGAGCUUGGUGCCGAACGCCAUUGGAACUUUGACCUUUGAGUCUCCCAUCAUGCCGAAUUUAGCAAGAAGAUUCUUGGUGUAUGCUUCCUGGUUGAUAAAGAUGCCUUCGGGUCCCUGUCUAAUAUUUAAACCAUGGAAAAAGUUAAUCGGACCCAUUGAGCUCAUUUCAAAUUUAGUCUCCAUCAGCUUUCUGAAUUCAGCUGUUAGGCUGGGAUUCGUUGAGCCAAAGAUGAUAUCAUCGACAUAGAUUUGAACUAUCAUAAGGUGGUUACCUUCCUUCUUACGAAAGAAGGUUGGGUNN